rnacentral:rRNA from 1 species
AACGAACGCUGGCGGCGCGCUUAACACAUGCAAGUCGAACGAGAAGGCGUAGCAAUACGCUUGUACAGUGGCGAACGGGUGAGUAAUACGUGGGCGACCUACCCUCGAGUGGGGAAGUAACCCGCCGAAAGGCGGGCUAAUGCCGCGUACGCUUCCAUCUUUAUGGAGGUGGAAGGAAAGCCGUGCCGUGGGCACGGCGCUCAAGGAUGGGCUCACGUCCUAUCAGCUUGUUGGUAGGGAACGGCCUACCAAGGCUCCGACGGGUAGCUGGUCUGAGAGGACGAUCAGCCACACUGGCACUGCGACACGGGCCAGACUCCUACGGGAGGCAGCAGUGAGGAAUAUUGCGCAAUGGGCGAAAGCCUGACGCAGCGACGCCGCGUGGGGGA